CCUCCUCUUCAUUUGUUUGUCACCUCUCUUCAUCGCAUUCUCCUUGUGUAUGAUCCAUGAGUUUAUCACACUAACGUUUGUUAUGCCAUAGAACACGCACAGGGGCCAUCUCCUGGUCUUUCUUCCACAGCCAUAGUGAGCACACAUCUG